rnacentral:rRNA from 1 species
CAGUCGCCGCGGGAAUACGUAGGUGGCAAGCGUUGUCCGGAAUUGUUGGGCGUAAAGGGCUCGCAGGCGGUUUCUUAAGUCUGAUGUGAAAGCCCCCGGCCCAACCGGGGAGGGUCAUUGGAAACUGGGAAACUUGAGUGCAGAAGAGGAGAGUGGAACUCCACGUGUAGCGGUGAAAUGCGUAGAGAUGUGGAGGAACACCAGUGGCGAAGGCGACUCUCUGGUCUGUAACUGACGCUGAGGAGCGAAAGCGUGGGGAGCGAACAGGAUUAGAUACCCCUGUAGUCCCUGUCUCUUAUAC